CUCGAGAGUCUGACCCAAGUUGUCGGGACCUUCUAAAGGUUAGUCCACCAGGUCAGGACCACUAGUCAGAGGCUAACAAUGGAGGUCCUGGAGAGGCAGAGGAAAAACAUCUGAACCAGACCCUGCACCGAGCCACUCAGAGUCAGAAGAAAGCUCCAGCACCAAGCAGCAGCCAAGAGCCACAAGUCCAGAGUGGGAGAUGUUCAGAGGGAGCUGAUGCCACAUCUGGUCCAGUUGAUGGAAGAAGACCUUGAAGUUCUCUGACUGAAGAUGGUCCUCUCACUGGAUUUAUGGUUCAAACUCCACCAAUGAGCCAACAGAGAAGCUUUAGGUUUAUUAAAUGUUGCUAUGAAGAUGCACAAUGAGGGACGUCUGCAGCAACUGAGAAAGAGUCUCAGAACAUUCUGACAUGAGGAAAAAGACCUUAUUGAAGACGGCAACGAACAAGACAGCAGACGGCAUGCAUUCAAGGGAGGAAGGCCAUCAAACAUCAACGUCAGCUGAUGGAGGUCCAAGAGUCUCACCAAACAAACAACCAACAGAGUGAAGACUUCAAACCUGAUUGGACGGCCUCCUAUUCAGCCACAUGUGUGAACAAAUGCCUCUAAGUUGAUUUGUUUCCUAAAAUAAAUCUAGUUUGAGUCCUAA